rnacentral:rRNA from 1 species
GAUGAACGCUAGCGGGAGGCUUAACACAUGCAAGUCGAGGGGUAUAGCUCUUUCGGGAUCUAGAUACCGGCGCACGGGUGCGUAACGCGUAUGCAACUUUCCCUACCUAAAAUGAUAGCCCUUCUAACGGAGGAUUAAUACUUUUUAACCGACAUAAUGCCAACGUUAGAUUUUGAAAGAUUUAUGGCCGUAGGGUAGGGAUGCGUGAGAUUAGUUAGUUGGUGAGGUAACGGCUCACCAAGACGAUGAUCCUUAGGGGGGCUGAGAGGGUGAACCCCCAGACUGGUACUGAGGCACGGACCAGACUCGUACGGGAGGCAGCAGUGAGGAAUAUUGGACAAGGGGUGGAAGCCUGAUCCAGCCAUCCCGCGUGUAGGAUGACGGCCUUAUGGGUUGUAAACUACUUUUAUCUGGGGAUAAACCUACUUACGUGUAAGUAGCUGAAGGUACCAGAAGAAUAAGCACCGGCUAACUCCGUG